rnacentral:rRNA from 1 species
CCUACGGGAGGCAGCAGUGGGGAAUAUUGCACAAUGGGCGAAAGCCUGAUGCAGCAACGCCGCGUGAGUGAUGACGGUCUUCGGAUUGUAAAGCUCUGUCUUUUGGGACGAUAAUGACGGUACCAAAGGAGGAAGCCACGGCUAACUACGUGCCAGCAGCCGCGGUAAUACGUAGGUGGCAAGCGUUGUCCGGAUUUACUGGGCGUAAAGGGUGCGUAGGCGGAUGUUUAAGUGAGAUGUGAAAUCCCCGGGCUUAACCUGGGUACUGCAUUUCAAACUGGAUAUCUAGAGUGCAGGAGAGGAGAAUGGAAUUCCUAGUGUAGCGGUGAAAUGCGUAGAGAUUAGGAAGAACACCAGUGGCGAAGGCGGCUCUCUGGACUGUAACUGACGCUGAGGCACGAAAGCGUGGGUAGCAAACAGGAUUAGAUACCCUGGUAGUCCACGCCGUAAACGAUGAGUACUAGGUGUAGGAGGUAUCGACCCCUUCUCGUGGGGCAGUUAAGACAUUAAGUACUCCGCCUGGGAAGUACGAUCGGCAUACUACCACUCAAAUAAAUUGACGG